rnacentral:rRNA from 1 species
CGUAGGUGGCAAGCGUUGUCCGGAAUUAUUGGGCGUAAAGCGCGCGCAGGCGGUCCUUUAAGUCUGAUGUGAAAGCCCACGGCUCAACCGUGGAGGGUCAUUGGAAACUGGGGGACUUGAGUACAGAAGAGAAGAGUGGAAUUCCACGUGUAGCGGUGAAAUGCGUAGAGAUGUGGAGGAACACCAGUGGCGAAGGCGACUCUUUGGUCUGUAACUGACGCUGAGGCGCGAAAGCGUGGGGAGCAAACAGGAUUAGAUACCCUGGUAGUCCACGCUGUAAACGAUGAGUGCUAAGUGUUAGAGGGUUUCCGCCCUUUAGUGCUGCAGCUAACGCAUUAAGCACUCCGCCUGGGGAGUACGGCCGGAAGGCUG